AGCACAUUUCAACUUUGUUUUUCACUCACUUCGGUGUUCAUUAUGAGUUGGAGGGAGUAAAGGGAGGAGGUGGCCCCCUUCAGAGUCACUAAGAGAGCUGGCUCCUUCAGUCCUGUGGCAUUGUCCUCCCCCACAUCCUCCAAGUCCUCCCAGGCAGCUGGUGGAUGCAGAGAGAGAAUGUGGGAAGUUUCCCCAGGGCCACACCUGCAAGUAGCACAGAUCUGUUCUGCUCACAUCCCGUGGGCAGACGUGGCUGUACACAGCUGCCAGGGAGGUUGGAGAUUAAGAGAAAGGCACAGAAGGGAUGUUGUGGUACUAUCACCCACCCAAUUACCUGAGCCGGAAGCCGGAGAAGGGCCCCACGCUCCUCCCCUGGCCCCACCCUGACAAGCCUCUCUGACCUGAAGGGGAUCGCAGGUCUUCAUGCAUCUGUGAAGGAUAAUGCAGAACGGCUCAUUUCCAACUGCUUGCAUCUAUGAAGCAAAAUAAAAUCCAACAGAUACUAGAACAAGAUCUAGUUGUUGUCUUCUUUAA
rnacentral:lncRNA from 10 species